UCGCAGGAGAGAUGGCACUUAGCAUUCCUUUUAAUUGGUAAAAUGCCUAAAUGGAACCAAUUAAGUGCCUCUGUCUUUCGACA